rnacentral:rRNA from 1 species
GAUGAACGCUGGCGGCGUGCCUAAUACAUGCAAGUCGAGCGAACGGACGAGAAGCUUGCUUCUCUGAUGUUAGCGGCGGACGGGUGAGUAACACGUGGAUAACCUACCUAUAAGACUGGGAUAACUUCGGGAAACCGGAGCUAAUACCGGAUAAUAUUUUGAACCGCAUGGUUCAAAAGUGAAAGACGGUCUUGCUGUCACUUAUAGAUGGAUCCGCGCUGCAUUAGCUAGUUGGUAAGGUAACGGCUUACCAAGGCAACGAUGCAUAGCCGACCUGAGAGAGUGAUCGGCCACACUGGAAAUGAGACACGGUCCAGACUCCUACGGGAGGCAGCAGUAGGGAAUCUUCCGCAAUGGGCGAAAGCCUGACGGAGCAACGCCGCGUGAGUGAUGAAGGUCUUCGGAUCGUAAAACUCUGUUAUUAGGGAAGAACAUAUGUGUAAGUAACUGUGCACAUCUUGACGGUACCUAAUCAGAAAGCCACGGCUAACUACGUG